rnacentral:rRNA from 1 species
UUUAAGGUCUAACCUGCCCAAUGAGGAUUUAAAUGGCCGCAGUAUUUUGACUGUGCAAAGGUAGCAUAAUUAUUAGUUUUUUAAUUGAAAGCUUGUAUGAAGGGUUGGACGAGAUGAAAUCUGUCUUUAUUUAAAUUAAAAUAUAAUUUAACUUUUAAGUAAAAAGGCUUAAAUGUUUAUAAAAGACGAGAAGACCCUAUAGAUCUUUAUUUAAUUGAAAUUUUAAUAAUUUAGGAUUAUUUUAAUUUAAAGUUUUAAUUAAAUUUUAUUGGGGUAAUAUAAAGAUUAAAUAAAUUCUUUUUAUUUAUGACAUUGAUUUAUGAAUAUAUGAUCCAUUAAUAUUGAUUAUAAGAUUAAGUUACCUUAGGGAUAACAGCGUAAUUUUUUUGGAGAGCUCAUAUCGAUAAAAAAGUUUGCGACCUCGAUGUUGGAUUAAAAAUUAGCUUGGGUGUAGAAGCUCAAGAUUUUGGUCUGUUCGACCAUUAAAUUUUUACAUGAUCUGAGUUCAGACCGGCGUGAGCCAGGUCGGUUUCUAUCUUUAUUAAGAUAAAAUGUUUUAGUACGAAAGGACCAAAUAUUUAAUAUAAUUAUAUUUAUUUUUUGAAGAAUAUU